rnacentral:rRNA from 1 species
CAGUAGCCACGGUAAUACGGAGGGGGCUAGCGUUGUUCGGAAUUACUGGGCGUAAAGCGUGCGCAGGCGGUUUUGUAAGUCUGUCGUGAAAUCCCCGGGCUCAACCUGGGAAUGGCGAUGGAGACUGCAAGGCUAGAAUCUGGCAGAGGGGGGUAGAAUUCCACGUGUAGCAGUGAAAUGCGUAGAUAUGUGGAGGAACACCAAUGGCGAAGGCAGCCCCCUGGGCUAAGAUUGACGCUCAUGCACGAAAGCGUGUGGAGCAAACAGGAUUAGAUACCCGCGUAGUCCCUGUCUCUUAUAC